AUUGAACGCUGGCGGCAGGCCUAACACAUGCAAGUCGAGCGGCAGCGGGAAAGUAGCUUGCUACUUUUGCCGGCGAGCGGCGGACGGGUGAGUAAUGCCUGGGAAAUUGCCCAGUCGAGGGGGAUCACAGUUGGAAACGACUGCUAAUACCGCAUACGCCCUCCGGGGGAAAGCAGGGGACCUUCGGGCCUUGCGCGAAGGGAUAUGCACAGGUGGGAUUAGCUAGUUGGUGAGGUAAUGGCUCACCAAGGCGACGAUCCCUAGCUGGUCUGAGAGGAUGACCAGCCACGCUGGAACUGAGACACGGUCCAGACUCCUACGGGAGGCAGCAGUGGGGAAUAUUGCACAAUGGGGGAAACCCUGAUGCAGCCAUGCCGCGUGUGUGAAGAAGGCCUUCGGGUUGUAAAGCACUUUCAGCGAGGAGGAAAGGUUGUUGGCUAAUACCCAGCAGCUGUGACGUUACUCGCAGAAGAAGCACCGGCUAACUCCGUGCCAGCAGCCGCGGUAAAAC
rnacentral:rRNA from 1 species